AUUUCUCAAGCUUUCUGGUACUCUUUAUUGUAUUAGCUCUUAUCAAGAUAUAUCAUAAAUUAUGGUGGAUUCCUACUCGAAUACAGUGUUUGAUGGGUUCACAAGGAAUGAAAGGCUCGUCUUACAGAUUCAUCCAUGGAAGCACCAAAGAAAUAUUAAGCAUGAAAGAGAAGCCAUGGCCAAUCCUACAGGCUUAUCGCUAUAUUUUCUUAAGUCCAGCCUCAUAUCGACUUUUGGGUCAACAUAUAUGGAAAGACUUAUCUUUAGUGGUACGGAGCUAUACCUGAACUAGUAGUAACUGAACAGGAGUUGAUCAAAGAGAAACUUGAUAAUAGAAAUAGAGCUUUUCCAAAAGCUGGUAAUGAAGGCUAUAUCGAGAAGAUAUUAGGAGAUGGCCUUGCAAGCACUGAAGGAGAGAAAUGGGGGAAAUUGAGGAAACUUGCCAAUUAUGCCUUUCAUGGAGAGAGCUUGAAGUGUUGAGAUGAUGUUAGAAAGGUUGAACAUAUAUGAAAGUAGAGAGAUUUGAGGUGUUUGAAGAAAUCAUAUUGUUAUCUUCAGAAGUAAUUUAAAGAACAGCAUUUGGUAGCAAUUAUCAAAAAGGGAAAAAUAUUUUCAGAUGCUGAUGAAGUUGGAAUUGUUAACAUUCAAAAAUGCUUACAAACUUAGGUUUCCUUGUAUCAGUUAAGUUUUUCUUUAUGAAUCUAUAGUUGGAAAAGAAUCACCACCUUUUUUCCACAGUAAUAUGUCAUUCGUCCAUUUGCAGCAAGUUUCUUAGAACGAAGGAUGAGAUUGAAUUAGACAAGCUUGAAGAAGAAAUACACAACAACAUAAUAGAAAUAAUCAAGGAAAGAGAAGAGAAGGUAAUGAAAGGAGAAAAAGACGGAUUUGGGAGUGAUUUUCUUGGAUUGCUUUUAAAGGCUCAUCAUGAUGCCAACACCAGCCAGAGGAUUACAGUGGAUGAUUUUGUUGAUGAGUGCAAAACAUUUUAUUUUGCUGGGCAAGAAUCCAAUAAUAGUUUUCUUGCUUGGAUUGUUUUGCUUCUAGCAAUCCACACAGAUUGGCAAGAAGCAGCAAGAAAGGAGGUGCUCAAUAAUAAGGCCAUGAAAAUCCAAAUCCAGUAGGCAUUGCAAAACUAAAAACAGUAAGUAACAGACUCAUACUUAUUGCAAAACUGCAU